rfam:Parasitella parasitica strain CBS 412.66 genome assembly, contig: contig_20325
AGUAUCAUGGCCGAGUGGUCUAAGGCGUCUGACUUAAGAUCAGAUCGGCGUAAGCUGGCGUGGGUUCGAACCCCACUGAUACUA